CGGGAUGUAGCCUAGCGGUUAGGGCGCCUGCUUUGGGAGCAGGAGGUCGUCAGUUCAAUUCUGACCAUCCCGA
rnacentral:tRNA from 1 species